CAGACACCUGAUAAAGACAUCUC
rnacentral:piRNA from 1 species